CAGCCGCCACGGGAAUACGUAGGUGGCAAGCGUUGUCCGGAAUUAUUGGGCGUAAAGGGCUCGCAGGCGGUUUCUUAAGUCUGAUGUGAAAGCCCCCGGCUCAACCGGGGAGGGUCAUUGGAAACUGGGAAACUUGAGUGCAGAAGAGGAGAGUGGAAUUCCACGUGUAGCGGUGAAAUGCGUAGAGAUGUGGAGGAACACCAGUGGCGAAGGCGACUCUCUGGUCUGUAACUGACGCUGAGGAGCGAAAGCGUGGGGAGCGAACAGGAUUAGAUACCCCGGUAGUCCCUGUCUCUUAUAA
rnacentral:rRNA from 1 species